AACACAUGCAGGUCGAGGGGCAUCAGGCAUAAAGCUUGCUUUCUUUGCUGGCGACCGGCGCACGGGUGAGUAACACGUAUCCAACCUGCCCUUUACUCGGGGAUAGCCUUUCGAAAGAAAGAUUAAUACCCGAUAGCAUAAUGAUUCCGCAUGGUUUCAUUAUUAAAGGAUUCCGGUAGAGGAUGGGGAUGCGUUCCAUUAGGUUGUUGGUGAGGUAACGGCUCACCAAGCCUUCGAUGGAUAGGGGUUCUGAGAGGAAGGUCCCCCACAUUGGAACUGAGACACGGUCCAAACUCCUACGGGAGGCAGCAGUGAGGAAUAUUGGUCAAUGGGCGCUAGCCUGAACCAGCCAAGUAGCGUGAAGGAUGAAGGCUCUAUGGGUCGUAAACUUCUUUUAUAUAAGAAUAAAGUGCAGUAUGUAUACUGUUUUGUAUGUAUUAUAUGAAUAAGGAUCGGCUAACUCCGUGCCAGCAGCCGCGGUAAUAUGGAGGAUCCGAGCGUUAUCCGGAUUUAUUGGGUUUAAAGGGAGCGUAGGUGGACUGGUAAGUCAGUUGUGAAAGUUUGCGGCUCAACCGUAAAAUUGCAGUUGAUACUGUCAGUCUUGAGUACAGUAGAGGUGGGCGGAAUUCGUGGUGUAGCGGUGAAAUGCCUAGAUAUCACGAAGAACUCCGAUUGCGAAGGCAGCUCACUGGACUGCAACUGACACUGAUGCUCGAAAGUGUGGGUAUCAAACAGGAUUAGAUACCCUGGUAGUCCACACAGUAAACGAUGAAUACUCGCUGUUUGCGAUAUACAGUAAGCGGCCAAGCGAAAGCAUUAAGUAUUCCACCUGGGGAGUACGCCGGCAACGGUGAAACUCAAAGGAAUUGACGGGGGCCCGCACAAGCGGAGGAACAUGUGGUUUAAUUCGAUGAUACGCGAGGAACCUUACCCGGGCUUAAAUUGCAGUGGAAUGAUGUGGAAACAUGUCAGUGAGCAAUCACCGCUGUGAAGGUGCUGCAUGGUUGUCGUCAGCUCGUGCCGUGAGGUGUCGGCUUAAGUGCCAUAACGAGCGCAACCCUUAUCUUCAGUUACUAACAGGUCAUGCUGAGGACUCUGGAGAGACUGCCGUCGUAAGAUGUGAGGAAGGUGGGGAUGACGUCAAAUCAGCACGGCCCUUACGUCCGGGGCUACACACGUGUUACAAUGGGGGGUACAGAAGGCAGCUAGCGGGUGACCGUAUGCUAAUCCCAAAAGCCUCUCUCAGUUCGGAUCGAAGUCUGCAACCCGACUUCGUGAAGCUGGAUUCGCUAGUAAUCGCGCAUCAGCCACGGCGCGGUGAAUACGUUCCCGGGCCUUGUACACACCGCCCGUCAAGCCAUGGGAGCCGGGGGUACCUGAAGUACGUAACCACAAGGAUCGUCCUAGGGUAAAACUGGUGACUGGGGCU
rnacentral:rRNA from 1 species